rnacentral:SRP_RNA from 11 species
GCACGGCCAACCCCUACCGGAAGUGGCGCCGCGGGGAUAUAACAGACCACCGGCGCCGCCCUCCAGGGCGCCGGGGAAGGCCCCCGGCAGGGAAGGUCACCAGCAGCGACCCCCCACCCCCCCGAGCCGUGGGUGCAUAACCACCGGUAGCUUUUUGG